rnacentral:lncRNA from 1 species
UUCCCCUUCUCCCUCUGUUACUUUCUUUUCUAAUUCUGUUUGUCCUGUUUUUGUUUCUUGUAAUGAUAACCAACUUGUUGCAUUGCCUUCUGUGUCUUCUUGUAAUGAUGACUUUUUGUCUGAUCACAAGGCUGUUUCUAUGCAUUCUCAUGUGAAUAGUUCCACUUGUAAUAAUGAUUUUACUUCUGGUAUGAAUUACACUUGGCACUUAAGACUUGCACAUAUUCCUUUUGCCAACAUGAAAUGCAUUUCUGGUCUGCCUUUUCCUUUUGCUUCCAAACAAUCAUUUCCCUGU